AGUUAUUUUUGUGUCUAAUUGAGCUGUACUGCCAAAUACAAUGGCAAAAUUCGCAUUUGUCUGAGAAUUAAUUGUAUGAACUAUACAAGUAACUUAUUGUGUCUUUCCAACAUUUUGUAGUAAACUCUUAAAUUACACUUGUCAUACAUGAACUUAAGGGUCUAUAGUAGCGCAAUACCUAUACUUCAAUUUAUAACACAAACUUACAAAUUUAAUUUAGUAAACACAAAAGUUCUUCUUACCUUUGAUAGUCAAUUUCUCAGUUAGAAAAAUUUAUCUGGCACUUAA
rnacentral:misc_RNA from 1 species